UUUCUCAUGUGCCAAACCACAUUUUCUCUACUUUUCCUUCUCUCUAAACCUCUCACGCCCUCCCUCCUUCUUCCACCCCAAUCCAUCAAAGUUAGCCCAAUUGUAAUGGAAAUCAACAUGCAAGCUUCAAAUCUUGAUCCUUGGAACAAUUUAAACCUUAUGCAAGAUUAAAAUUCUUCUUUCCUUUCCUCUUUUCCCUCCUAGCUGAACUCAACCACAAGCUCACAAGUUUUGAAUUGUUGCCAUCAGAUUGUUUAGAGAGUGGCAAUUAAGUUGUUGUGCUGAUUAUGACUUGAAUUGAUGAUUAGAAGUAAGAAAUAAGGAAGAAUGAGGCUAGGGUUUGGUUGUUCUGCUGGAAGAGUGGGUAUGUAUGUGUGAAUAUUUAUCCAUUGUGAUUUGGUUUGGCAAUAGAAACAAGAAAUUUGCAGAAAAAGGAUUACUGAAAGUUUGGGUCAAAGCUGGAUUUUGGAGAGUUGAGUAGAGAAAUUGAAGUUUUGCAGAAGGCAGAGACUAUGAGCUGGAGAUAAGCUUAAUCUGAUUCAGAAGGUUAUGGUUGGCUUACCUCUUCAUAAUCUUGGAGUGGAAGAUUUCACCAAUCACAUAUUUGAGAGUUCCUCCUUCAAGGCUGCUUCCACUUUACUUUCCCCGGGAUAAACAUGAGGAGCAAGUUGCUUUGUCAAAACUUCCUGCAGAUGUGGGGAUGAAAAUGGUGAGACCAUCAUAGAUGAGCGUAAAAUCAGAAUAAAGCCUUUACCUAAAAAGUGUGUUUCAAGAUCACCUGAUGCUGCAGUUGAUAUUCCUGUCAGCGAUAUUAGCCUGGUUCGAAAGAAUUCAUCAAAUUUAGAUUCAUUUUUGGAUCCUGCCUUCAUGUCCUUGAUCAAAGGCGUCUGGAACAGUGGGAGAAAACUGCUGCAGCACAAAGAGGCUUUAAUUGUGCUAAAUUACUUUGAUAUGGCGACAUUGACGGGCCUCCGUUGUCUGCUGCCGAAGAAUAUUCUCUCCACUCUAGAUACCUAUCAAAAGCAAACUCUUUAAAUCUUUCUGAAAUUGCAGAAAUUAGAAUUGUGAGUGUCCAUUUAUUUCAUCAUCUGUUUUGCACUACUCUGAAUUCUAAUAAAUCGGUUAUAACCAUUUCUGUCUUUGUUCUUCUAAAUAAAAUUUUGUUCUAUGUAAAACUUCACUUAUUCUUUCUUUCCUUAGCCAUAUAUCAAUACUUACUAAUUGAUGGUUUUAGUUCAAAUGGAAAGUCAUAUCUUAAUUUUAUGUGUCACCAAUAGUCAAUUAGUUCUAUUGUAAUUAAGAAAAUUACAAGUUAUAGUGUAAAGUUAUAGUGUGUGUGGUCAAGGCUAUAAUUCUUAACAUGAUUAUAAGCUAAAACAUGAUUUUUAUGAGGAAAGUUUUAGUGUAUUCCAAUGAAUGGCCGCUGCAGCACCCUUCUGCAACCUCUUCUUCCAAUUAAUGCUAAGUUAAUCAUAUAGUAUAUGUAUAUUUGUAUAUGUGUAGCUAACUGCUCUUAAUAAAAGGCUAGAAAGGUCUGAUCGAGUUGGUAAGUUGUAUUGGCUAUCUUCCUGUUAUCUAAUCACAGUUAUUUUCUGCUAAACAUUGUAUCUGUCCAUUGCUAUUUGGUACUGAGUUUUUAAAGGCUUCCAAAUAUAGGGUGCAAGUGUUCAUGUUUGUACAUUUUCAUCUCAAAUGUGAGAUGUAUAAUAAAACCUCCCCUCCUCAUUCCUCAAAAUCCAAUUUUAAAUCAAUUAAGAAAUGAAGAGUAGUCCAUAUUCCUAUCAUUGAGGCAGUGUGAUGUUAAAAUAUAUUUAGGGGAUCUUUGAGCAAUGUCUUGAACGGUAAGAUGGAGAAUUCCAUUAUGAGUUACUUGAUAUUUUUAAUAAUAUAGAUUAGAGUUUGAGCAAAUGUUAUACUACUUUUUAUUUCAAAGUUGUAUCUGUAUAUAUAAACAAAGUGAAUCAGGUGUGUUCUUUCUAAUCUAUUCCAUAAUAAUAUUGUGCUUUUAUGCACCUUUAGUACUCAAUAAUCAGUCACUUAAUUAUUUGGGCUUCAAUUAGCGUUAAUCACAAGUGUAAAUUUGAUCAUGAAACAGUUAUGAAGUGGGGGCACCUUUAGUAUGAUAAGGUGAAUGCAUAACUUUGCUAUCUUACAAUAUUUAUAUUUACCUUUCAAGGUUACUCUAAAAAUGAAGAGUACACACGUUGCUGGGACCAUUAAGAAAAAGAAAAAGAGUAACUUUUCAAUAACAUUUGUCUUGCUCUAUAGUUUCUUAAUUUUUAAACAACAGAUUUGGAGGUUGGUUUUGUUCCAUUUAGGGAUUUGCGAAAGGCAGGAUCAAAAGGGUUUUUCUUUAAUUCCAUUCCCUUUAUGUUUUGAAUUUACAGAUGUGGUGAUUGAACUGAUCAAAGAUAUGCCCGCUUGGACGGGACGCCAUUUACUGGAUGGCGGUGAGAAUCGUCGCUACUUUGGAUUGGAAAGCCAGCCUUUGAUCAGAGGGCAGAUGAGGCCAAUAUUUUGCCAUUCCUUUGUGGAGGGGAAGUGAUUAUUUGACAAUGUUUGUUCAAGAAAAGAGGUCACCGUGGGAGCGGCGUGAACUCUAUCAGAUCAUGACUGAUGGAAGAUGGAAGAUCUAAAUUGCAAGUAAAAAUGUUCAAUAAAAUCAUUUUCAAUUGGCAAUAUGUCAAGAAUGAGCUCAAUAUAAUCAUAUGCUUUUCUGUGCAUUACAAUGUAUAUAAAGUUACCAUUCAUAGUUACCCCUAAAGACUUUGAAUUAUUCAUCUGGCAUGUUGCUUAUUGAUUGGCCUAUAAUCCGCUUAUUUUCACAA